GCCUCUAUAGCUCAGUUGGUAGAGCGCGGUAUGUUUCCGAUGUCGAGGUCUACGGUUCGACUCCGUAUGGAGGCA
rnacentral:tRNA from 1 species